UUGAUAAUAUCUGAUGAAUGUUUAUGUGUGUUUUUGUCGCACGGAUUUUUCUUUUGCAGACCAGUAUCGUUUAAACAUCAGCUCAAAAAUGUAUGAUUUUGAUUUGAGUUUUUUUUUUUUAUUUUAUUUGUUCUAAAAAUUGUAUGCAGUAGUGAUAUAUGAAUGUUUUUUGGCAGCUUCGCUUUCUCUUGUCCAUCGCUUUCUCCCCUUCACUCGUCUUUACUUUCUCUCGUCAUUUGCUUUUCAAGGUUGGUUAUUUCUUUUACCAUGUAUUAGUGCAGAUUAGAAAACAUGUUUUUGUCAGCAGUAGGUAUCUGUAUAUGCAGUAGGU
rnacentral:lncRNA from 1 species